GCACCUGUAGCUCAGUGGAUAGAGUGCUGGACACAUACACCCAGGCUGGCAGGUUCGAAUCCUGCUGGGGCCA
rnacentral:tRNA from 1 species